rnacentral:lncRNA from 1 species
UCUGCAAAACCUGCAUCGUGCGCUACCUGGAGACCAACAAGUACUGCCCCAUGUGCGAUGUGCAGGUCCAUAAAACCCGGCCGCUGCUGAGCAUCAGGUGGGCCCGGCACUUCCUCCUGCUCCCGCCCAUCCUCUGGGGCAGCUGCCCUCUGUCUCCUCCCUCCUUGCUUCCUGAAGCCAGGGUGGCAGGUGGGGGAGGAGCAUCGGGCAUGGACCGUCCCUUGGGGAUGAUGUAUCCAGCUGAGAAAUUCUAGAGAGGUAGAGACGGGGCCUACAAGGACCCUCAUGCCUGGGCCCUGGCUCUCAGAAAGAGAGGUGGGAAGAGGGGCCCUAGGCUGGAGAGUCAGGGUGAGAUGGUUGCCGACUGGCUCCUAUGUGUUUUUUCAGAUCUGACAAAACCCUUCAAGACAUUGUCUACAAAUUGGUCCCUGGGCUUUUUAAAGGUACCUGCACCCUUUGUCCCCCUGCCACCAGCUCUCACUGCCCAGCCUGUUGCUUCCCCUGAGCCUGCUCCCUCUCUUCCAGAUGAGAUGAAACGGCGGCGGGAUUUCUAUGCAGCCUACCCCCUGACAGAAGUCCCCAACGGCUCCAACGAGGACCGUGGUGAGGUUCUGGAGCAGGAGAAGGGAGCUCUGAGCGACGACGAGAUCGUCAGCCUCUCCAUCGAGUUCUACGAAGGUGUCAGAGACCGGGAAGAGAAGAAGGGCCCCUUGGAAAAUGGGGAUGGUGACAAGGAGAAGACAGGUGUGCGCUUCCUGCGGUGCCCAGCAGCCAUGACUGUCAUGCAUCUUGCCAAGUUUCUCCGCAACAAGAUGGACGUGCCCAGCAAGUACAAGGUCGAGGUUCUCUAUGAGGACGAGCCGCUGAAGGAAUACUAUACCCUCAUGGACAUCGCCUACAUCUACCCCUGGCGGCGGAAUGGCCCUCUCCCCCUCAAGUAUCGCGUCCAGCCAGCCUGCAAGCGACUCACCUUGCCCACAGCACCCACCCCCUCCGAGGGCACCAAUACCAGCGGGGCAUCCGAGUGUGAGUCAGUCAGUGACAAGGCUCCCAGCCCUGCCACCCUGCCAGCCACCUCCUCUUCCCUACCCAGCCCAGCCACCCCCUCCCAUGGCUCUCCCAGCUCUCAUGGCCCCUCGGCCCCCCACCCCACCUCCCCCACUCCCCCUGUGACAGCCGGUGGGGCCAGUGCCGCUGCCAACGGGGGCGCCUCAAACUGCCUGCAGACACCAUCCUCCACCAGCAGGGGGCGCAAGAUGACUGUCAACGGAGCUCCUGUGCCCCCCUUAACUUGAGGAAAGGGACCCUCUCCCUCCUUUUCCAGCCAUGCCUCUCCACCCCUCCACUUUUUCUGGGCCCCGUUUUUCCACCUCUUCUAUUUUCCCCAGCUCCUCCCACCUUAGGGGUGGGGGAUGGGUUUUAUAAAUAAAUCUAUAUAUAUAUGUACAUAGGAAAAACCAAAUUAUACAUACU